rnacentral:rRNA from 1 species
GACAGAGGGUGCAAACGUUGUUCGGAAUUACUGGGCGUAAAGCGCGUGUAGGCGGCUAAGUAAGUCGGGCGUGAAAUCCCACGGCUCAACCGUGGAAGUGCACUCGAAACUGGAUGGCUAGAGUCCUGGAGAGGAGGGUGGAAUGCUUGGUGUAGAGGUGAAAUUCGUAGAUAUCAAGCGGAACACCGGUGGCGAAGGCGGCCUUCUGGACAGUGACUGACGCUGAGACGCGAAAGCGUGGGGAGCAAACAGG